rnacentral:rRNA from 1 species
CAGCAGCCGCAGUAAUACGGAGGGUCCGAGCGUUAUCCGGAAUUAUUGGGUUUAAAGGGUCCGUAGGCGGGCGAUUAAGUCAGUGGUGAAAGUCUGCAGCUCAACUGUAGAAUUGCCUUUGAUACUGGUCGUCUUGAGUUAUAGUGAAGUUGCCGGAAUAUGUAGUGUAGCGGUGAAAUGCAUAGAUAUUACAUAGAACGCCGAUUGCGAAGGCAGGUGACUAACUAUAUACUGACGCUGAGGGACGAAAGCGUGGGGAGCGAACAGGAUUAGAUACCCUGGUAGUCCACGCCGUAAACGAUGGAUACUAGCUGUCCGGAACCUUGAGUUCUGGGCGGCCAAGCGAAAGUGAUAAGUAUCCCACCUGGGGAGUACGUUCGCAAGAAUGAAACUCAAAGGAAUUGACGGGGGCCCGCACAAGCGGUGAAGCAUGUGGUUUAAUUCGAUGAUACGCGAGGAACCUUACCAGGGCUUAAAUGCAUAUUGACAGGGGUAGAGAUACCUUUUCCUUCGGGCAAUUUGCAAGGUGCUGCAUGGUUGUCGUCAGCUCGUGCCGUGAGGUGUCAGGUUAAGUCCUAUAACGAGCGCAACCCCUGUUGUUAGUUGCCAGCGAGUCAUGUCGGGAACUCUAACAAGACUGCCGGUGCAAACCGCGAGGAAGGUGGGGAUGACGUCAAAUCAUCACGGCCCUUACGUCCUGGGCCACACACGUGCUACAAUGGUAGGUACAGAGAGCAGCCACUGGGCGACCAGGAGCGAAUCUUCAAAACCUAUCUCAGUUCGAAUCGGAGUCUGCAACUCGGCUCCGUGAAGCUGGAAUCGCUAGUAAUCGGAUAUCAGCCAUGAUCCGGUGAAUACGUUCCCGGGCCUUGUACACACCGCCCGUCAAGCCAUGGAAGCUGGGGGCACCUGAAGUCGGUCACCGCAAGGAGCCGCCUAGGGUGAAACUGGUAACUAGGGCUAAGUCGUAACAAGGUAGC